UUGUUCAGGAAGAAAAGAUCAUGGGGAUUGAAAAUUUUACCAUGACAUUGGAUAAUCCUUCUGGGGUGUUCUAUGCUGGCCAAGUGGUUUCAGGUAGAAUGCAAUUUGUAACUACAAAGCCCUAUGAGUCAGAUGGAGUAUUUGUUAAGUUUGUGGGAAUGGCUGAAGUUCACUGGAGUGAAAGGCAUACAACAGGUACUGGGAAGAAUAGAAGAUCACACACUGUACACUAUAGAAGCCAUGAAAAGUAUCUUGAUAAUAAGAUUUGCCUGUACAGUCCACCUGGAAAACAGCUGCAGCCUUACAACUACGCAUUUCCAUUUUCCUUACAACUCCCUCUCACACUUCCUAGCUCUUUCAUAGGAACAGUUGGCAAGAUUACAUAUCUUGUAAGAGCUAACGUUCAUCGAAGUGGAAUGCACAUGGCAACAAGGGUUACUAUGCCAUUUUCUGUUGUUGGCAUCAAGGAUCUUAAUUACCUUCCCCAACUGCAACAACAUCUGACUACAGAGAAUCACAAGACAUUUGGAAUGCUCUUCUGGAAAUCUAAACCACUUACCGCACAAAUCACCAUAAACAAGCAAGCAUUUGUCUCUGGAGAAAAUAUCCUUGUAUCUGGGUUAAUAAGAAACGAAAGUGAUACUAAAAUCAAAAACUGUGAGCUGAAGCUAAUACGAUUAGUGAGGUACAAUGCAAGAGGGAAAACCAGAACUGAUAAGCGAACAGUCUACAAGUGUGAUCAACCAGGCAUCGACAAAGAAUCGGAAGCAAAAUGGCAAAAUGUUCCUAUUUUUGUACCUGCUUUACCUCCAUCUGGUCUUGAUGGAUGUAGCAUCAUCCACACGGAGUAUUUCUUAGAAGUCCGUAUCGUUCCACCUGGCAUGGCUUUUGCACUUGAACAAAUGUUCAACAUUACCAUAGGUACCAUUCCGUUUCGCCAGCAGUAUGCUCCUCCUCCACCUACUGCAGGAGCAGGUUAUGCAGCCCCACCGGGUGGUUAUCAUGAACCGGGACCUUCUGGUGGUUAUGCUCCUCCGCCACUUCCGAGUGGGUUUCAAGCUGGACCACCUGGACCACCUGGACCACCUGGACCACCUGCUCCAUACCCCCAGGCUGGCCCUCUUCCAGAAAAAGGUCCUGUUCCUUCUGCUCCUUAUACUGACCCUUCUGCACCACCAUCUGCUGCAGUACCGCCACCAUAUGGAGAUAUUCAACCAACUUAUGGUGCAUAUCUUGGGGACUCCAACGAGCCACCAGCUUAUGAUGAUCUGUACAAAGGGGGUGAUGAUAAUGAAGAGCACGAUGACACUUCAAGGAAUUACCAGCCACAAUACCCAUCAUUUAAGAUACCUCCUGCGUAUUAAGUUAUAAAGAAUGCAGUGUACUCUCUGGACUAAGGUAACUUAGGAGCAAAUACGAAUGGCUUUAAAAUGCUAUUCGUUGUUUGAACCAGUGAAAUUAGUAUUUCAGCUAAAAUAGGCUUGCAAGUGUAUAGUUAUGACUUGUGUUAUGAGAUUUUUAAAACAAACAUUUAAAAAAAAAAAGAUAUUUUUAAUAUGAUUGACUUUUUAGUUUUAAAAACUUUUUUUUACAACUACAAUUAAAUACAUUUGUUGAGGCUUAUGUCACUAUAUAAUAUGCUUAGUGCUUAUGCAAUCGCGAAUGCUCAUUGAUUAAUACAAAGUUAAUGAAAACACUCGAUAAGAAGUAAACCUCCAUGAAGUUAAUAUAAUUAUAGAACUGGCAACCAGACAAGAAAACAUAAUUUGAAGUUUGAAGAGAUUAGAUCUUCAUCAUAAUAAUAUAUAAUAUCCGAUAUUAUGAAAAUCAGAGGAAUUUUCUUCUUCUUUUGAAUCAAUCAAGCUAGAUGAUUUGUUGUAAAUACUGAGAUCAAAUUAUCAAUUUACAGGAUAUCGUCAAACAUGUUGCAAGGCGUCAUCUUCAAAACCUAUAUAUUAAAAAAUUUCACUUUGUGGCCUUCUUGGGACAGUCCCUGAUAUUAUACAAUAGGCAAACUGCUUCUGUGAUUAUAUGCUAACUUUUUAAUUUUUAACAUGUCUGGGCUGAUUUGGUAGUUUUAUUAUAAUUUAGAAUAUUGAACCUGCAUGAGUGUUUCUUUGUAGUUCUAACUUGUGUGACUUUGUGUAAUUUUAUGAAUUAUGACAUAAGAUAUUGAUGUACUUCUAUAUUCUCAGUAGUUUGAUAAAAUUCUUUUAAAAAAUGUGUGUAAAUGCUUUGUGUCCUAUACCGUUUUCUGAUAAAGGAAUAAAUAUUUAAAUUUUCGAUCAUAAGUCUCUAUCAAAAAUUGUUCACCGAUCUUAACUUUUGUACGUGUAUAAUUCAGAUACAAAGCUAUUGAAUCGUUAAUUUAUUAAAUGGGAGGUAUGCUACCCCAUAUUUAUCAUGCCAUAAUUCUUUAUUUAACUUACGUUCACACACAUGCUCGUGUUCUACCCCAAAUUUAUCAUGCCAUAAUUCUUUAUUGAACUUACGUUUACACACAUGCUCCUGUUCUAAUAUUUUCCUUUAUUCCUUUGGUUGAGUUUUGUUUCUUUAGAAUUAAUAAAGUAAUAACAUGAUGGUUUACCUUGCUAUAUAACUGUUAUUAUUGAAGCAUGGGAGCCUCGCUAUUAUUUUCAAUCUGUUCAGUUGACAAGUUUAAUUGAGACUAAAAUACUCAUUUACACU